UACGUAGGGGGCAAGCGUUGUCCGGAAUCAUUGGGCGUAAAGCGCACGUAGGCGGCCCGGUAAGUCCGUUGUGAAAGUCAGAGGCUCAACCUCUGGAGGCCAAUGGAUACUGCCGGGCUAGAGUCCGGAAGAGGCGAGUGGAAUUCCUGGUGUAGCGGUGGAAUGCGCAGAUAUCAGGAGGAACACCGGUGGCGAAGGCGGGUCUCUGGGCAGUAACUGACGCUGAGGAGCGAAAGCGUGGGGAGCGAACAGG
rnacentral:rRNA from 1 species